UACGAAGGGGGCUAGCGUUGCUCGGAAUCACUGGGCGUAAAGCGCACGUAGGCGGAUCUUUAAGUCAGGGGUGAAAUCCUGGAGCUCAACUCCAGAACUGCCCUUGAUACUGGGGAUCUUGAGUCCGGAAGAGGUGAGUGGAACUCCGAGUGUAGAGGUGAAAUUCGUAGAUAUUCGGAAGAACACCAGUGGCGAAGGCGGGUCUCUGGGCCGAUACUGACGCUGAGACGCGAAAGCGCGGGGAGCGAACGGGG
rnacentral:rRNA from 1 species